rnacentral:misc_RNA from 1 species
UAACAAGGUAGCCGUAGGGGAACCUGCGGCUGGAUCACCUCCUUUCUAAGGAUGAUCCUUCAGCGAGCUCACGCUCACUAUCGGAUCGUUUUAGAAACAUCAGUGGCCAACAGAUCGCCAGAUCGUUGAGCUGCAUUGGCGGGAUUUCGCCGUCUUCGUUUCUCUUUCUUCGCGGACGAACACGCGCUGGGCCUGCAUCAAGCAGGAUCCCACGGUCCCUGACGGGAUAUGCGUUAGGGGCUUGUAGCUCAGUUGGUUAGAGCGCGCGCUUGAUAAGCGUGAGGUCGGAAGUUCAAGUCUUCCCAGGCCCACCACUUUCAUCGAGUGAGCAUUCGUCUUCUGGUUACGGGGCCAUAGCUCAGCUGGGAGAGCGCGUGCUUUGCAAGCAUGAGGUCGUCGGUUCGAUCCCGUCUGGCUCCACCAGAUGGUUUGAUCACCGAGAUCUUGCACCGUCGUCCGCGAAACAUCACUUCGCAUCCUGCUAGUCUGGAUAGACAGCAAGAUGCGUGUUUUCUGACAUCGUAAAGAGGAGAUCGAUCCGAGUUGGGUCGUGCAGCAGAUUGUUGCGCGAACCUUCAUUAUCUCCGGAUCAUUUUCGGCGCUCGCUUUCAGCCGUGAGGUUGAAUGCGAGUUGUAAAAUGAUCCUUUUAGCGAAGCUUGACCGCCUCGCUAUCGGAACGAUCUUACGAAGCAAGCUGGUCUUUCUAGUCAAUGUCCGGCUGCACGUAGCAUUCAUCGAGGGUGCGCGCCGUAAGGCAAUCGUGCAGACAACAUUCUGCCGAGUGUGUGGACAUUGAUAAUGAGAGCAAUCAAGUGCCUUAAGGGUGUUCGGUGGAUGCCUUGGCGCUGAGAGGCGAUGAAGGACGUGCUACGCUGCGAUAAGCCGUGGGGAGCUGCGAAGAAGCUUUGAUCCGCGGAUUUCCGAAUGGGGAAACCCACCUUCGAUAGCCGGAACUCCAAGACCUUGUGUUUUGGUGUUCGACCAGAAAUGAUCGGGACCAUGACCCUAGAGGUUUUGGAUUUCCGGUUAUCAAGAGAAGGUAUGAGACUUCUGAAUACAUAGGAGGUUUCAAGCAAACCCAGGGAACUGAAACAUCUAAGUAC